rnacentral:pre_miRNA from 1 species
GUUUGUCUGUGUGUGGAUAGUGUUUAGCACCAAGGACAGGCGUGUUUGUCUGUGUGGGGAUGGUGUUCAGCACCAAGGACAGGUGUGUUUUCCU